UCUAUGGUUCCCGCGCCCUGCACUUCGUGUCGACCACGGUUGGAGCCGUCUUGCUUGGUUCAUUAGCCGCUUUUUGUGUUUUUCGGAUGCGUCUUGCGACAGUGCAAUGGCAUGUGCUUCACGGGUAAGCGUAGGAAUUGAGGGAGGUGCGAAAAAGAACAAAUGCUGGAACCGGCGAUACUGCUGCGUGAAGGACUGUCACAACCACGAAGGCCAGCCCGGCAUAAAGUUGUACAGGUUUCCUGGCAGGCCUUACGAACUAGAACGGCGUAAGAAAUGGAUCGCAGCUGUGAGGAGAGUAAACGCAGCAGAUGGCUCCGAAUGGGUCCCGACCGAAUCAACCAGGAUUUGCUCUAAGCAUUUCGUCAAUGAAGAAAAAAGCACCAUAGAAAGUCAUCCUGGCUACAACCCGACGCUUUUUCCAGACGUUUACAAAGUGCGGCAAGCUGACGGAACCAAACGGUGUAGAGGAACGAGAACCAAAGCACCAAGCUGUUGCUCCGAGACUACUGACAGGGUGUACGAAAGGGCACGAAGGACACUACCAUCGACCCUGGAUGUCCUCUGCAUGGCGAUUGAUGUAAUGGAAAAUCCAAAAGGGGACAAGGCUUGCCAAACUGAGGGUGCGGACACAACUGGCACUGGCACACUUUGUGUGUUCUUAUGUUCUGUACAGGGGAGUGACGCUUGUAGUCAAGUCAGUCAUAUGUGUUUCAGAGAUGCUGAAACAGAGUGCAGGCCCUCGACUGUUUCCCGCCACUGUGGCGCAAACUACAGAUAGGGGUGCUUUACGGCUGUGACAGUUCGAAAGACUUCACUAAGGGUUAGUAAGUUCGCCAAGAAGACCAUGAAUUCCAACCAAAGUGCCAGCUGUGCGGUCUGCCCCACAUGACAGCGAGAAGAGAUUGCAAGAAGCGAUUGAAGCCAGCACCCCUACCGCUACGAAUAAGGGAAGCAAGAAAUAGGUCGAAGAGCAGACUGCGGGCAAACAGCACCUCAGAAGAGGAGGCGGAAGGCAGGUCCAAGUCCCAGUCACAAUGCUGCCACCAGCAACAACACAGGAACAGAAGGUGAGCUGGGCACACCUUGUCAAGCCUCUCAACGCUCCCUCCCCAGACUUCUUAGCUAACACACAUCAGCAGUAGCAAAUCACGAAGCUGGAAAAAAUGGUAGAAUCACUCAGGGAACUGAACACUAAGCUAAUGAAAAGAAAAUUACGAGUGCCAUGACUGAAAAGUUCGGAAAGAUAAACACAACCAUCCUCAAGAUGGGACAGGUUAUUGACGCCCUCACCAACACGAUCAACAACCUAACCAUCAGGACUGACGAGACUGAUCGGUGCCUCGCCACCCUUGAACAAGAACGAGAACAACUAAGAAAAAAGCCGAAUCAGACCAGCGUAGAAACAAUGAGGUCCUACACCUCAAAAUGGUGAUUAAGAAGGGAAAGGACAAAAUGCUCAAAAUCUGGCAAUGGAACUGUCAAUCGAUAUGACGUAAAACGCAAAACCUUCUACAAUUCACCUGCAGUCAUCAACUGGACAUCAUCGCCCUACAGGAGACAGCAACCACCGAACUCAAACUCUGCGGCUAUGAGACCCACAUAGCCGAGGGGAGGAUGGCCAUUCUCAUGAAGAAGCAGCACACAAUACAUCAGCAUUACAUCAAUCGGAACAGAACAUACCCUCGUAGAAGUAAUACCGGGAGUGAAGACACUCCAGUCCCUCUUUAUACUAAACGUGCACAGUCCGCCGUCUGAAACCCUAAAUGACUUCGAUGGGCUCCUCACGGCCAACAAAAAACAUCACCUAAGGACCGAAAUUAAUCGUACUCUGCGACUUCAAUGCACCCCAUGUCGCCUGGGGUUACCACGUCACCAACAAAAAGGGCAACAAUGUGCACGACGUGGCUGAACAGUAUGGCUUGACGUUGUGGAACGACCUUCACAUUCCCACCAGGGUGGGAAACAGCGUCUGGAGGGACACCAGCCCCGACUUCACCCUCUCCAUCGGCAUACGGCAGGUCCUAUGGGCGAGGGUGGACGAAACCUUGGGGAGUGAUCACCGCAUUGUUCAGACAAUAAUACGACACCACAACACCCCCUUGAGGACGGGCCAGGCCAAGAUCAUGGACUGGACCGCAAGAAUGAAAACUGGAUGAAGCGAAUCGUCGAAAUGGGGGACAAGCAUACCAAGACAGUCGAACUCAGCAUCGACAACCCUGAGAUGGACUCCCACUAGCUCCACCUGUGGGAAGCGAGGCGGGGCCUGCUCAGAAGAUGGAAGAAGCAGAAAAGAAAUCGCAAAGUCAGGCUCCGCAUCACCGGCAUUACGAGGCAAGCGGAAGAGUACGCCGAGGACCUGGCCAGACAAAACUGGAACCAGGUGUGCGACCGGCUCUAAGGCACCUUUAGCAACCACCAGACGUGGGCGUUCCUGAAGACAUUGCUAGCCAAGACGGAAUUGAAGGCCAUCACGGGACAACAGAUCCAGCGGUUGAUUCACAACUUCCAGGGGACGGAGGAAGACGUCCUGCAAGUCGUCACCGAAAGGUACUUGGGCACAACACCAACAGCCCCCUGUCACCCUGCCAGAGUACACAGGCCAACCCAACCCAGAGCUGGACAACCCUUUCACCGAGGCAGAGGUCCUGGCCGCGCUGGGGAAAUUGAUGACGAACAUGACGCCCGGGAGACACAGAAUAAAUAAUACCAUGCUUCGCAACUUGCAUGCCGAGGCCACGACACGACUACUAAAGUACAAAAACAAAUACUGGGAAAGCGGCAAGAUCCCUGCCACGAGGAACGAUGCGGACGUGACCAUGAUACCGAAACCUAAGAAAACCGUCAAUCUACAAAACCUGGGGCCGAUCUCCCUCACGUCGUGUGCAGGCAAGCUAUUCGAACACAUGGUUCACAACCGGCUUUCCCUGUACCUGGAGGAAGAGGGAUUCCUGGCAAGCACCAUGUACGGCUUUCGACCAUACCUUUCAACAAAAAACGUACAACUAUGUCCGGGACUUCCCGACAGACCAGACGGCCACGGGGGGACUGGCCCACCGGAGAAUGUAAAAGCUCAGAGUCCCGCAGAAAGGAACCCCUCAGGGCUCAGUAAUCUCCCCGCUGCUAUUCAACUGUGCUAUGAGGGGCUUGCCACUGCUCCUGAGGGAAAUAAAGGGCAUUGAGCAUGCGUUAUACUGGGAGAGCAGCAAGACACGCUGCAGGAGGCGGUUGGCAAUACCGAGAGCUACCUGUGUGAGUGCAACCUCGCGUGCGCCCCGGAGAAGUCAGAGCUGCUGGUGUUGAGGGGGAGGACGAGGAGGCAUCCUCCACUGGAGACGCCGGACCUCGAAGUGACGCUGAACAGCGUAAGAAUAUCCAAGGUGAACACGCUCUGAGUCCUGGGGCUCACUUUGGAAAAGGACGGCGCUACCAUCAACCAACUCAGCAAGACCAUCGCCUUAAGGAGCAAGAUACGCUCAGGAUAGUGCAGACCCUGGUUACCAGUAGGGUGACGUACAGCCUUACCUGGGACUCAAAUACAGCGAGCGUGACAAGCUGGACGCCCUGAUAUGGAAGGCACACAAGACGGCGUUAGGGUUAGCCCAAACGGUAUCAAAGCUACUGAGCCUGGGUAUCCAUAAUGUUUAGGAAGAGCUAGUGGAAGCUCAUAGAAUGAGCUGACUCAAGCUGACCAAGCCGGGAAAAGACACCCUGAGAAGCCUGGGAUACCAAGUAGAAGACAACGACAAAGGCAAGAAAAGAAUAUCGCUGCAGCUACAAAACAACAUCAAAGUCAUGACGCUGCCACGCAACAUGCAUCCCGAGUAUCACAAGGGAAGAACAGCGAGAAUCUAAAUGCUCAGAAAGGCGUACGAAGACGACGAGGAUGUCCGCUACGUAGACGCUGCAAAGUACAGAGGGGUGGAGGCGCACGCCGUCAGCGUGGCGAUUGGUAGAGAACAGCUCGCGGCUGCGUCAGUUGCUACCUGGGACAUGGACUCAUCCGAAGAGACGGCGAUCGGCCUCACGGCUACCGCAGCGAGUGUGAUCAAAAUACCUUACAGGCACCAUGAGGAGCAUUGAGUGAGGGGGACAUCAUUGCAAGACAGUUCUACACUUGAGUGCUGCAACGAUGGGUAGAAAUCAUCGUUGCAAAACAGGUUUACAAAUGAAGAAGACGGGGUAGCGAACAAAACAUUGGAUAAAUUUUAUCAUGCACAUAAGCAAACAUUGUGUAAAAAAAAGUGUAGUUUAAAGCAGGAAAAGGAAAACAAAAAGCGAUACUAACAAUGCUUAAACAGAAAUUACAGUUCGGGGUAGCUUACAAAACAUCGUUUUACCACACACAUUGCUCGUGCACAUAAUAAAAAGAAGUGUAGCUGGAAGCAUGAAAAAGAAAAAAAAUCUGCGUAACAUUACGUAGAUAUACAGAACAUAGCAUACAGAAUGACACAUAUUUAGAAAAGAAACUGCAGGUUCAGGAGUUGCUCAAAUUCAUAUCUGUCCAUUUACAUGACAGUGCUCUUGGGAAGGGAAUUCCACAAGUGGAUGGCUCGUGGCAAAGCUGACAAAUUAAAUGCAUCCUUGUUUCCGUAGAUGCGAUUGAAAUUUAACUCAUUAUUCAGUUUUUCGUGAAAUGCACCUUGUAUGUUCCAGCAGCAAAGACGAUAACUUCAUAUGAUUGACAUAUUUAUGGGAGCAAGGACAGCAAUGCCACGUCACGAUCGACGACUAUACUUGGUGCAUGAAGUGAAAGGUCUACUUUGAUUCGAGUUAUGCUUGACUGCCUAUUGUAAUUGCAGGAAAUGAAUCGACUAGCUCGGUUUUGGAUGGCUUCUAACGUGCAGAUUAAGUACUCGUGAUGAGGAGACCAUAUUGGGGAUGCGAACUCCAGCUGUGGAUGGAUAAAAGUCUGGAAAACUAACCUGCAGAUGUUAGACGGAGAUUUACAUAGGUUGCGAUGAAUGUACCUUAGUGUUUUUGAAGCAUUAGCGCAUAUGGUUGUUAUAUGAAUCCCAGGAAAGAUUUGGUGCGAGAUUAACACCUUGAUAUUUGUACAGUGAAGCUUCCAAUACUGGAUCCGCAUUUAUAUAAUAAGAAAAACUCGAGUUAAAGUGCUUGUGUGUUUAAGUAAUUACUUCACAUUGAGAUGAAUUAAGUGUCAUUUGCCAGGUGUUGCACCAGUCGCUAAUGCAUUGAAGGUCACCUUGAAUAAGGUGGUCCUCGAAGCGGGUAAUUGGUCGGUAUAAUAUACAAUCAUUGGCAAAAAUUUGCCUGCAAGAAGAGAUGUUAUUGGGCAGGUCAUGAAUGUAAAUUAGAAAAAGCAAUGGCCCCUGUGGUACAGCGGAAGUUACGUAGGCGCGGGGCUACGUAAAAUUGUUCACAACUGUCAAUUUCUGACGAUUAGUUAGGAAGUUACGGAUCCAAGAUAGUUACGGAUCCAAGAUAGAAACUGUUAUCCAAGAUAACAGUUUAAUAUGAGAGCAGUUAAUUUGGAAAUCAAACUGCUGUGAGCUACACAGUUGAAAGCCUUAGAAAAGUCGAUAAAGAGGCAAUCUGUUUGAAUGUUAUGGUCCAUGUGAGAAUGAGAAUGUCCAUGUCAGUAAUGAGCUCUAGUAACUGUGUUUCGCUGAUAAACCUUUCCUGAAGCCGUGCUGGUUAGUAAAGAGAAAAUUAUUUGAUUCAAGCUGUUCAUAUAUGUGAGAUGCUAUCUUAUGCUCGAGCAAUUUUGCAGCAUAUGCUUGUUACUGAAAUUGGACGGUUGUUUUCAGAGGAAUUCUUGCUGCCACUUUUGUGCACAGGUACCACUUUAGCAAUUUUUUAAUCAGAGGGGAGCAGACCUGAUGAUAAUGACUGGCAGAAAAUAUGGUACCAAAUUUUACUAGAUAUGGAAGUGGUAUUUUUUAAAACUUUAGAGUUAAUAUUAUCGACUCCUGAAGAGCUAGAUAUUUUGAGGUUAUUAAUGAGACAUGCGAUACCAUCUUCAGUAAUAUUGAUGGGUUCCAUGUACUGGCUGUCGAAAUCAGCGACUUCAGGAAUGAGUGAAAGGUCUUCAUUUGUGAACAUGGAUGAAAAAAAAGUGUUAAAGACUGCGGGGCAUUCACUAUCAGUGAGCGGAACUUCAUUCUUGCCAUCUAAUGAAAUAUGGUGCGAACCGCGAUCAGGUGAUAUUGCCUGCCAAAACUUUUUGAGGUUGGACUUAAUAAUAGAAGGUAGAUCAUGGGAAUAGUAUUUAUCUUUAGCCUCACUUACAGCUGAGCAGUACAUUUUCAAACAUAGGUUAUAUCUUUCCCAAGCCGUGGGCGAGCCUGUGUGCUUCGCAUUCGUGUAUAACCGUUUCUUCUUAUUCCUUAGCCUUCAAAGGUACUGGGUGAACCAGGGAUUCGUUUUAUCACCAGUUAUUUUGAUUAGCGGGAUAUACGAAGGACGUUCCGAAAGUAAGUUUCAUCAUUUAUAUUCACACGGACACUUUAUUGCCAAAAAAAGUUACACCAUGGCAUCAUGAACUAUAACACCUUGCACUAUUUUUCCACAUAGUUGCCACCAGCAUUGAGACAUUUGUCGUAGCGUGAAAUCAGUUUGAAGAAACCACUCUGGUAAAACUCGGUGGCCUGCGAUGCAAGAAAUUGUCGCACAGCCUGCUCCACCUCAGCAUUGCUUUGGAAGUGACAUCCCGAGAGUGCGGCUUUCAAUGCAGGAACAGGUGAAAGUCCGAUGGGGCAAGAUCGGGUCUGUAGGCCGAGUGAUCCAAUCUCUCCCAUCUGAAGCGACGAACCUGAUCGUGUGUGAGCCUUGUGUGUGGUUUUGCGUUCUCAUCCAAAAGCACAACACCUUCACUCAAGAGCCCUGGUCUUUUUCAUCGAAUGGCGGACCUGAGUUUGGUGAGGGUGCCGCAGUAGCAUGCCAUAUUGAUCGUCCCUUCACGGUGGAAAUCCUUUCGUGUCCCAGAACAUUGUGGCCAUUACCUUUCCUGCUGAGGGUGGCACUUUGAAUUUUUUCCUCGCUGGUGAAUCGGGAUGCUUCCACAUCAUUGAGGCAACCUUGGUUUCGGGAGUAAAGUGGUGCACCCAUGUAUCAUCACCUGUGAGGGUUCUGAACAGAAACUCAUUUCCCUCUUGCACGUACCGCAUCAAGUGAUCGAUGCUGAUUCCCAUUCGUGUGGUCUUGUGAUCCGGGGUCUCGUUUCUCGGCACGCAUCUUGCAGACACCUUUUGGUAACCCAACAAAUCAUGCAGCAUGGGAGAGGGCCUGAGCAUCACCAUUACUCGGUAUGGACACCACGUCUGACAUCGUUAUGCACCUGUCCGCAAACACCAUGUCCUGUACUCUAGUAAUGUUUUCAUUCGUGGAUGUGGAGGGACACCCACUUCAACCUUCAUCCUCCACACUCUACCUUCCUUCACUGAACAUGCGACGCCAGCAACCAAGCAUUUGACGAGGCAUGACCUCUUCACCAUACACGAUCUGUAGGCGUUCAUGGAUGAUGGACACACUAGUCCCACGUGCCCAUUCAUACCGGAUAACAGCACGCACUCCCAUUGACCACGUUGUCAGCACACAUCUGUCUGCCAUCGUGAUUUGUACUCGAAUAACCUUGGGCACACCAGUCUGCUGCUACACUCUCUUCUUCGUCGCUCUGCGCAUGCGUCAUUCCUCCUCUGCUGACACUCCUUCCAUCAUUGAACCAGCAACGGGUGUGGAUUCUUAAGGCGAUUGUUUGUUUCACCUGUUGCACCAUGUUCUCCUUCAAAAAAAUUAUGAAACUUACUUUCGGAACGUCCCUCGUACUUUUUUACUAAUGUGCAGAGCUUUUCCUUGAAAAGAAACCAGGUUUCGUUAAUUGACCAACCAGAAAACAAAGGUAAUAAAGUGUGAGAAAGAAACAUCUCAAGUUCCUCAUUUAUUUUGUUGUAGUCACCUUUGUUAUAGUCACGGAUAGCUUUCUUAGUGAUGCUUGUAGACGGCAAGGAGUCAUUAAGAGUAAGUUGAAGCAACUUAUGAUCACUAAAGCCUUCUAAGCAAGUCACUUCACCAAAUGUUUCAGGGGUGCUAGUAAGAACUAAGUCCAAUAUGCUAGUGCUGCAGGUGGGUUGGGUAACCAUUUGGAAUAAAUUAUAAUCUAACGUUAAAUAAAUUCAGUUGAAGACCUACAGGAUGAUAGAAGUCAUUCCAGGCAGUGGAAAAUUGGAAGUCUCCAAGGGGAUAAAUGAUAUCAGCCUGACAGAUAUUAAUUGCUUUUGUAAUGCUAUAGCGCAGUUCAACAAGAAAACACUAAUUCUAAUCGGGAGGGCGAUAGCAGCCUCCAAUUAACACUUUGUCGUUACGGUUAGACAUUCUUCGUUAUGGCCUGCUAGCCC